rnacentral:rRNA from 1 species
UACGUAGGAGACAAACGUUAUCCGGAGUUACUGGGCGUAAAGGGCGUGCAGGCGGUCGACUAAGUCUGGCGUGAAAGCUCUCGGCUAAACCGGGAGAGGUCGUUGGAUACUGGUUGACUAGAGGACGGUAGAGGCGUGUGGAAUUCCGGGUGUAGUGGUGAAAUGCGUAGAGAUCCGGAGGAACACCAGUGGCGAAGGCGACACGCUGGGCCGUACCUGACGCUGAUACGCGACAGCAUGGGGAGCGAACGGG